GGCCAAAGGAAGAACAAAGGAAGAAAAGAAAGAACAAGAACCCUAGGGUGAAAAUUCAAAAGAAAAUUGGUGGAUUUCAAGUAAUCAAGUAAUCAAAGGUAAAAUUUCUUGAUUUUGACUUGUGAUCUACCUUUCCCAUGCAUUCUUUUGCAUUUUUCAUGGUUGAAUCACAUGAUUUCAUGAUGGGUAUCUUGCUGGCUGAACACUUAGAGAGAGGUUUUGAUGCUUGAUUUUGUUAGAUUUUAAGAUAUUUUAGUGUUUUUAGUUAGUUAAUGAUGUGUAGCAUGAAAAGCCAACAAGAAAAAUUCAUUUUCUCCCAUCACCCAUCAUUGGCCGAAUUCUCCAUGUAGAAUAUUGAUGAUGAUUUUGAUUUUAUUUCAAGUAAUUUGGUUAGGAAUUAGUGAUUUGUGGUGUGAGAAUUAAGUAAGAAAAAUUAUAGUGUUGACGCACCCACCAUGGCCGAAUUUUCCAAGAGAAAAUGUGAGGAUGAUUUUGCCAUAUUUCAAGUUAUUUAAUUUGUGUUUGAUGAUUUGGAGUAUUGGGAGAAAAAUGAAAUUAUUUGGAGUUGAAUUGGACGUAUUGGCCAAUUAAUCGAGUGAUAGAUCGAAUUAGGCCAAUACCGUUUAAUUUCGGUACAUAAUUGAAUUUGUGUAGAACACUGUGUUUAGACAAUAAUCCGAACAAUUUGCAUCCCAUUUCAUACAUUAGUAUAAAGCCUGAAUUGGUUUUAUAACAAUUUAGCACAAUGUAGUAAAUGGCUUAUUGUGCAUUAUGUCUAGGUGGUGAGCAUUCUAGCAAAAAUAAAGAGAUAGUACUUGAGGAUCAAGAAUCGAAGUACUUGAAAUUCGACUCCCGAAGUAGUGAGUAACCUUAUCAUCAUCUUAAUUAUUUAAAAUAUGUUUUAUUUGAUUUUGUGAAUUUUAUGAAAAAUGAAUUAAAUGAUUAAUUUUUCGAUUUUAUAAACAAAAUGUGAUUUAAUGAAAUGAUUUUAAUAAAUUAUUUUAAAAUUGAAUGAUGGUUUGAAAAUAGAGUAAUUGGAGACUGCUUUUGUGUGUUGUAAAUUCAUGAUUCUAAUUGAUUGGCUUAUGGCAAUAUUGGCAUGAAUGGUUGAUUUGAUAAAUGUGUUGGAAAUGUAUAAAUUGUUGAUUUGCCUUGGAAGGCUGUAAAAUAAAAUAAAAUAAUUGCCAUGUCAUGCUAUUGCAAAUUUUAUUGUAUGGUGGGUUUAACUUGCUGCAGUGGGCGGGUUUUCUGUGGACUAACCUAUUAGAGGGGCACGAAAUCCCGCUAUAUUUUACCUCGAUGGGAGAGGCGAAUAGGGUAACUCCCGAGGUAUAACUUUAGAGUUCACUUCAUGCCAAACCACCACGUGAGGGUGAACUCAGCCAAUGCCAAGAAGCGACUAUGUUUUCAAAAUAAAAACAUGAUUUAUGCGUACAUAACUUUUUAACAGCCUUGGCGAACUCGGUUGGGAUAGCCCUCGAUCAAGGUAUCCCUGAUAACUAGGUAUGGGAAUGAUUUUGGCACGAGCCAAAGCUUUUAAGAAAUUCAUAAGCCAUGUUGAUUACUCGAUUUAUAUGAAUUGAUUUUAUUUGGUUGAAGCAAGUUGAAAGGUGAUGAGUUACAGUAUGUUAAACUAUUUUAUCUGUCUCCAUUUACUUGGCUUUAGAUAUUUUAGAUGGUAUUUGUUUACUCAUUAGGAUUAUAUAAUCUUACCACCCUCUUUUCCACCCAUUUCAAGCUCAGAAUAGGCUGUAGAUAGCUGAUUUCAUCGAGGCUACCAUUGGAUUUACAUCCUCCAAAUUGUAGGUUCACAAUCUUCCUUACUUUUAGUUAUUCGGGGGCCCACUGGUUAUUGUAAAUUAAAUUAACUACCCUGGCUUACUGUAUUAUAGUAUGUAUGAAUUUAUUUUGCUUUUAUGCUGCUACAAAAAUUAUUUAUG
rnacentral:lncRNA from 1 species